rnacentral:lncRNA from 1 species
GGUUGUGUGAUUAGUGCAAAGUUUAUUUUCUUCAAUUUAUUUAUUUUAUUAUCCUUUGGCUCAUUUUCAUUGUAAAGACUGUGAAUUCGUUAAGUGUUACUUUAGUGAUUAAAUAUGGGCAAAGAUACGGAAUUGGUGGAUGCCGCUCGUGAGGGGAAUUAUCCUCUCUGUGAAAAACUUCUGAGUUCCAAACCAAAGAGAGCAGGACCUUUUGCAAGUGGAAGAUCUUAUAACAAAGUCAUCAAAAUCUGCGCUUCCUGUCUUCAACACAGCAGACAUCAUGGUGGUAGUCUGGUUGUUAGAGAGUGAUAACCGAUUUCCAGUGCUACAAAUCUCUUUACUUGUAAAAACUGAACGUGGAAAGUGAAGGCGUAUUGUACUUGGUUUUGAUUAAUAUCCUGGUGUUGUAUCAGUGUAUUCUGAAACCUUACUAGUACCUGAGCUUUGACUGCUCUCUGAGUUUGCAUCACUUGAAAUUUUUCCAACAUCUGCUACUACAUCAUUAACUUAGGAUAAUAUUCUACGUUCUCCUGGUUCUCAAAGCUUCUUCUUAAACACUUAGUCAUGACCUGCCUUAACCACAUUUAUGUCAUAUGAGCGGUUAUCGAUUUUAAUACGAACUGUGCAUUAUCAUUUAAUAUUUAUUGAUGUCUUUUUAUUAUUACUAAA